UCCUGCAUUCUGAGGUCAGCAGUUUUCAGGAAGCCAGGCUGGCUUAGUGCUUGGGAUCCACAGUGGAGGCUGAUGCUCCCCACCAAUCAUCCAGCUAGCACAGGCAAUUCUAUCUUCCCACUGCUCUAAUGAUAAUGCAUUCUUUCCUCUUGAAGCACUUGAUUUUCAGAUUUCGAUAACUUCUGCCCACCUUAACUCCUAUCAAUCAGACUUUAUGUAACAGCACUGUGUUUGGUUCCUGAAGUGAAAUAUAUUCUUCAGAACAGCUAUAAGUGGAACAGGCUCAGGAAGAAGAGUGGAUGUCAAAUACUGGUUGUCAUAUCCUAGUAACAAGUAGACUUUCAUACGUAACACAUGAUCCCACUGUAGCUUGAUAUAAAUGGAAGAUUUAAGGGAAAGAGGCCUAUAAUUUUGUUGGCAAGAUAAAGAGAAAUUUCCCUUAUGCUAAGACCGAGUAGCCAAAAGUAUCUCUGAAAAUGGAAGACCUAAUUCAAUGUAAAUCCCUCAGAAAUUCUACAAGAGCUUUUGUGAUCGUGUUAGUGAAACUCAUCAGGGCAUAAGCUGAAUAUAAAUGACAUUAAAUAGAAACCCUAAAAAGAAAUGGAACAGAAUGCCCAAUGAUGAAACCCAGUGCUUCAGGAAAAUUCCAGCGUUAGAAGACAUUGUGUUUGCAAUGAAUCUCCCCUACACACUAUUACCAAAUAAAGUUUUGCCAGGGCAGAAUUUGAA